AUGGCGUCCUUUUAAUUUGUUAAAUUUCAUUUCUUUCAUACCCGGCAGCCUUAGGCUUUUCCCCCAAAACACCAAAUCAGUUUUCCCCUAAAUUCACAUAAACAACAUUGUUUUUUUCCACCCUUUUAACCUCAAAGACAUACCCGAAAAGCUUAAGUGUUUUCCCCUAAAAUUUUCCCCCAAAAUUUUCUCCCUAACCCUAAAUUUUCAGCAAAUCUAAAGCCAACCCAUCUCUCCAUCGCCGGACCCGACCAUCUAUUGCAUCGCCGUCGACUCGACUAUCUGCUACGUCACCGUCGCACUCCUCUGCUGCACCUAAUCGGGAAUUGAAACCUGGGUUAGAGAAAUUACUGGUGGAGGAAUUCACAAUCUUUUGCAGCAGCUUCACCUGCUACUUCAUCAUCAUAUUUACUUUCGGAUACUGAAUAGAAGAGAAAGGGGAAGAAGGGAAAGAUAAAGGGAAAAAUACGUAGAAGAAGAUUACGAGAUUUAAGUAUUGUCCAGAAUACUCCAAAUUCGGAAGAAGGAAAUAGUGAACAGUAGACAAUUGUUGGAUCUUUGAAUGUGCCUGAGACACUUGACGAGCCUG